CACGUAGGCGGCCUGUUAAGUGUGGAGUGAAAUCCCACGGCUCACCCGUGGAACUGCUUCGCAUACUUGCAAGCUCGAGGACGGUAGGGGAGAGCGGAACUCUUGGUGGAGCGGUGAAAUGCGUAGAUAUCAAGAGGAACACCGAUGGCGAAGGCAGCUCUCUGGUCCGUUUCUGACGCUGAGGUGCGAAAGCUAGGGUAGCGAACG
rnacentral:rRNA from 1 species